AUUUAGGAUCAGUAGCCUAAACAGGAAUGACAGUGGUAAAUAUACCCUGCAAACCUUUGAUUCAGAUGGAAGAACAUCAGAUGAGUGGACUUUCAAGUUGAUCUUUCAAGCUCCUGUGUCCUCUGUCCUGCUGGUCUCUGAGUGUCUGUCCCAGGGAGAGAUGAGGGUGUCCUGCUCCUCUGAGGGAGGGGACAGUCCUCAGUACAGCUGGACUCUGGAUGGACGCACACUGACAGAUGCUGAGCUUCUUUCUGUAAAUAAUAAGAGUAACAACAUUAUUCUGAAACAGCAUGUCUCAGGACAUCUGGUCUGCUCAGUGAGAAAUCAUGUCAAUAGUGUCUCCAAAGAACAAAGGAUAUGUACUUGUGGAUUCAUUUUCAUUAACUGCACUUUAUCUGAUGGGACACACAUAACAAAGUGGGUGCUUGCAACCAAAAAUACCCUGUGUAUUAAACCAACAAUGGGCCCUAUAACAGUCUCUGACACUGCUCUAGAUAACUCCUUACUUUUAUGUGGUUUGAGAGCAAUCUUGGGAAUUCUCUUAUUAAUUGGGAUUUUCAUCUACUUUGCUUGGAAGAAAAAGAAAACUGAAAAAGCUGCUGUCCCACAAACAAUGGACUAUCCAGACAACUCUGUUCUGAUGGUUGAAAUGACAACUUCUACUUCUUGCAACGCGUAGUGUCAACUUUCAUCUGCUGACAUUUCACAUCUCUGUGAGUGUGAAAAUAGCACUUAGAUGACACGUAUCUCUUGUUUUUAUUCACUAAUCAUGUUUUACAUUUACACAUCUUACACUGAAUGACCAUGAGAAUGUCUGAGUAUCUUCUGUAUUUGUAUUCUGUGGAAACUAAUAUAACAAAUGUUGUAAUUGUAAGUAGUGUAGUCUUUUAAUUUGACACAUUUUUUGUCAAGCUUAUGGUGGCCUAAAAUCAAAUUUUUACAUAAUUGCAAAUAGAAAUAAUCAACCCACCAGAAACUACUGUUUGUACUAAUCUGAAUUUGAGCACUCUCAAACUAUUUGCAAGUGGUUGAAAUUAACAGCCCUUACAGUGUACUUUUCUUUUGUUAUUGCUACACUGUAACAAUAUAUUUGUAGGACAUGGU
ensembl:lncRNA